UUGCCAAAAACCAACGAGAAACAUCAAUUUAGGUCCUAAACGGUCUUUGAAGCUUGAAGGAGUCACGAGAUUUUUGGGUUGUUUUUUGUUUCUGCCUUUUACAAUCUCAGAUGGGCUCAACUUUGAGAUUAUUCGAUGAUCAUGGAUGGUGGAUUUGAAGAGCGGAAGCCAUGGGGGUGUUGUGGUUAAGUCAUAGGACUGUUUGGAGGUGGUGUCGCUGGCAAAAAUGGUGUAUCUCCUAGUGGUGGUGCCAGGGUUCUUCGGGCUCUCUGAUGAGGGAGAUGAG
rnacentral:lncRNA from 1 species